rnacentral:misc_RNA from 1 species
AGAGCACGUCUGUAUUUCAUGAAAAGACGACCGUUACAUAACAAGUGUCACGCAGAAUAUAGUUAUAAUUAUCAACUACAGAAACUUCCGAUAAAUGAUCGAACUGAGCUUCUACUGAAAUGCACUUGUACUGGAAUAUGCGAAGCUCCAAGGCGAUGAUCACGAGUCACGAGGAACUCAGCCUUUGGGAUAGUGGUCCCAGUCCUCCUCCACACGACCGUCGAACGGCGUCCCUACGAAAUAGGUCGUCAGCGUGCCCUUUCCCUUGACGUAGGUCGGCCCUCGAUGGAUAAUUUU